rnacentral:rRNA from 1 species
AGUCUGGUGCCAGCAGCUGCGGUAAUACCAGCUCCAAUAGCGUAUAUUAAAGUUGUUGCAGUUAAAAAGCUCGUAGUUGGACUUGUGUGCGCUGUCCGCGGGUGGCCUGCGCCCAAGGGCGUUUCGGUUCGGCCCCGGUGGCGCCUUGAAAUCUGCAGCUGGGGGGACGUUGGCCUUAACUGGUCGGCGACCGCACGCCGGCUGCUCGGUUACUGUGAGAAAAUUAGAGUGUUCAAGGCAGGCAUUGGGUGCAAUUGAAUGCAUUAGCAUGGAAUAAUAAAAUAUGGCUCCUGCCGUAUUUUGUUGGUUUUGACUGGUGGGAGUAAUGAUUGAUAGGGACGGUUGGGGGUGCUAGUAUUGAGCGGCCAGAGGUGAAAUUCAUGGAUUCGCUCAAGACUAACUUAUGCGAAAGCAUUCACCAAGGACGUCCUCUUUAAUCAAGAACGAAAGUUGGGGGAUCGAAGACGAUCAGAUACCGUCGUAGUCUCAACCAUAAACUAUGUCGACUUGGGAUCGGCGGUAGUUUUUUCAUUAAGACACUGUCGGGACCACGGGAGAAAUCAAAGUGUCUGGACUCUGGGGGAAGUAUGGUCGCAAGGCUGAAACUUGAAGGAAUUGACGGAAGGGCACCACCAGGAGUGGAGCCUGCGGCUUAAUUUGACCCAACACGGGGAAACUUACCAGGUCCAGAGAUGUAGAGGAUUGACAGAUUGAAGCUCUUUCUUGAUCACUUCGGUGGUGGUGCAUGGCCGUUCUUAGUUGGUGGAGUGAUUUGUCUGGUUAAUUCCGUUAACUAACGAGACCUCAGCCUGCUAGUGUAGUCGGCUGGAUUGCCUUUGGCGAUCCGUGAUUUCGACUUCUUAGAGGGACAAUCGACGCGCAGUCGAUGGAAGUUUGAGGCAAUAACAGGUCUGUGAUGCCCUUAGAUGUUCUGGGCCGCACGCGCGCUACACUGCUGGGCUCAGCGAGUUUUACUUGGCCGAGAGGCCCGGUUAAUCUUGUGAAAUCCCAGCGAGCUUGGGCUCGCCUCCUGCAACUGGAGGCGCCAACGAGGAAUUCCUAGUAGUCGCAGGUCAUCAACCUGCAUCGAUUACGUCCCUGCCCUUUGUACACACCGCCCGUCGUUCCAUAAGAGUGAGGCAUCCGGUGAAUUCUCGGGAGAGCCUGGGCGUGGCCAGCAAUGGUCUGCUCGGGUUUGAACUUGCAUAAACUUGGUGCCUAUGAUUAGGGAAAAGUCGUAACAAGGUUUCCGUAGGAACCUGCGGAAG